CUCAAAGCUGAUUAAUUCCUCCAAAGAAACAAGAGAUUUCCAAACAUUUAUGCAAAUAAGUUUGUUUCCAGGAAAUAGUGUUGGAACACUGCACAGUAAGUGAAACAUGUUACAGUAUGAACCAUUCCCCUAAAAGUGGGAAGUGGGGCAAUGCAGGAACCCUGACGUGAACCUUACGACUGUCUUUAGCAGAGCUGUGGAAAGGGGGAAAAGUGAACUGGUACAAGUGGUCCCAGCACUGAAGAACAUCUUUGAAUAAAAUGCUACCCUCAGAACAGGACAUAAAUGAACCCUUGAAUGAAAGAACAGAAUACUGCUCAAGAGAAAAUAAUCUUCAGCCGAGCAUGGUGGCUCAGCACUUUGGGAGGCCAAGGCAGGAGGAUCACUUGCAUCCAGGAGUUCGAGACCAGCCUGGACCACACAGCAAGAUCCUGUCUCUAUUAAAAAUAAAAUAAAAUAAAGAAGUGAUCUUCAGAGUGAUCUUAUGCAUCCUUCUGUUGUGGCCAAUUUAUAAGCUUACCAUGAGUGCCAU
rnacentral:lncRNA from 10 species